rnacentral:rRNA from 1 species
AGUGAACGCUGGCGGUAGGCCUAACACAUGCAAGUCGAACGGCAGCACAGUAAGAGCUUGCUCUUACGGGUGGCGAGUGGCGGACGGGUGAGGAAUACAUCGGAAUCUACUUUUUCGUGGGGGAUAACGUAGGGAAACUUACGCUAAUACCGCAUACGACCUACGGGUGAAAGCAGGGGAUCUUCGGCCCUUGCGCGUUUGAAUGAGCCGAUGUCGGAUUAGCUAGUUGGCGGGGUAAAGGCCCACCAAGGCGACGAUCCGUAGCUGGUCUGAGAGGAUGAUCAGCCACACUGGAACUGAGACACGGUCCAGACUCCUACGGGAGGCAGCAGUGGGGAAUAUUGGACAAUGGGCGCAAGCCUGAUCCAGCCAUACCGCGUGGGUGAAGAAGGCCUUCGGGUUGUAAAGCACUUUUGUUGGGAAAGAAAAGCAGCAGGUUAAUACCCCGCUGUUCUGACGGUACCCAAAGAAUAAGCACCGGCUAACUUCGUG